GAUGAAGAACGUAGCGAAAUGCGAUAAGUAGUGUGAAUUGCAGAAUUCAGUGAAUCAUCGAAUCUUUGAACGCACAUUGCGCCCCAUGGUAUUCCGUGGGGCAUGCCUGUUCGAGCGUCAUUUCAACCAUCAAGCUCCCGGGCUUGCGUUGGGGCCCUGCGGCUGCCGCAGGCCCCUAAAACCAGUGGCGGGCUCGCUGUCACACCGAGCGCAGUAGCAUUUCUUCGCUCUGGGCGCGGCGGCGGGCGCUUGCCGUAAAACAUACCACUUUUUAAAGGUUGACCUCGGAUCAGGUAGGAAUACCCGCUGAACUUAAGCAUAUCAAUAAGCGGAGGA
rnacentral:misc_RNA from 1 species